AAGUCGUAACAAGGUCUCCGUUGGUGAACCAGCGGAGGGAUCAUUGUUGGAACGCGCUCACGCGCAUCCAGACAACCCUUUGUGAACUUAUACCUAUACUGUUGCCUCGGCGUCAGGCUGGCUCCCCUCGGGGGGUCCCUCACCUCGGUGAGGAGCAGGCCCGCCGGCGGCCAAGUUAACUCUUGUUUUUACACUGAAACUCUGAGAAAAAAACAAAAAUGAAUCAAAA
rnacentral:misc_RNA from 1 species